UGGACUGACUCUCACUCUGUGUCCUUUUGGAGUCUACCGGUGGUGUGGUGGAGGACCUUGGCAAGAAAGCACUGUGGCCCAACACAUCCAGGGUGGCCCCAGCACCAUGUGGAAGUGGUACAUAUUCUGGAAUCAGUUCCUUGCUGAGGAAAAACUCUAGAUGUUAUGGCAGGUGGGGGGAUGUCCUCACUGUCCUCAGCUGGAGAGCCAUCUGAUUCCAGUUUCCUGAGAGGACUGAGGAUUGGGAGUGUGGGGAAAAGCAGACAUCCGGGUGAUGCCGGCAACCAGCGAAAGUGGUACAUAUUCUGGAGUCAGCCUCUUCCUGAGACAAAACUCUAGGUGGUAAUGCAGGUGCGACAUCCUCGCAACCCUCAGGCAGGUGAGGUGAGAGUCACAUCCUGGAGCACGUUUCUCUCUUCUCCUCACCACAUCCCUUAUACUGGGACCAGAGCAAGACCUGCACUUGGCUCCAUGGGAGAGAGACCCAUAUGCAGCUGCCUGGAGACCCUCCCUGGCUGAUGGGAAUUCUUGAGGCCUCUGUGAAGGCUGCUGGGCUGGUUGCACACACAGGCUCUCACGGUCCCUCUGAGCUGGUCUCCUGAGACUGACCGGGCCCAAGACAGAGGCUCUGACCAGGCCAUGACAAUGCCCACUGUCAUCCGUAAGGAAGACGACUUCGCAGGUUUCGAAGACUCGGACCCAUAGAUCCACCAUCUGCAUGUCAGAACAACCCUGACGUCACUCCUGGGUUUCUGACUGCUGCAUGUGCCAUCCACCCGCGGACCCCCCAUGGU